rnacentral:lncRNA from 1 species
UUUCCCUAUCAUUUCAUUGAAAAAUGGUCCCUUUUACAUACCUGUUUAAAAGUAAAAUUUUGAGCUUAAAUGGUCCGUGACCCCCUAUUUUUUUCCGACCAAUUUGAUUCAUUUUCUUUUAAGAAUAAAAUAACCAAAAAUACGGCACUUCUGAUAGAAACUUCGAAUACGCCCGAGCCACCUUAAGCAUAUAUUUUCUUUUAGUUUAGUCCUUUUCGGUGAUAAAAACUUUUCACUCUUAUUUACUUUUACUUCUAUACUCUUAUACAUCUGUGUAUAGAUCUAAUGGCAUCAUUUUCAUACAUUACUAUUUGCUGUGUCAUGUUUUCUUUUUUUGUUGUUGAUAUUUUUAUAUAUGCCUG